rnacentral:rRNA from 1 species
UACAGAGGUCCCGAGCGUUGUUCGGAUUCACUGGGCGUAAAGGGUGCGUAGGUGGCGAGGUAAGUCGGAUGUGAAAUCUCCAAGCUUAACUUGGAAAUGGCAUUGGAAACUACCUGGCUAGAGGUUUGGAGGGGGGACUGGAAUGCUUGGUGUAGCAGUGAAAUGCGUAGAUAUCAAGCGGAACACCAGUGGCGAAGGCGGCUUACUGGUCCGGUUCUGACGCUGAGGCGCGAAAGCGUGGGGAGCAAACAGG